rnacentral:tRNA from 1 species
GGCUCUGUAGUGAAGUUCAUAGUGAGUUGCAAGCUCAUUGAUGUGCACUAGGCGUGCGCCGGAGCCU